AUGUGUCUCGGCUCAGUCACAUUGGGAACUCUGAAGGUUCCAGAAGACCACCUGCAGAAAAGUGGACUCAGAGAACACCUUAACCAUAACCGCCACUCUCUGAAGUCUACUGCGCUGCCGUUUGGCCACACACUCUGCCUGCGCCAUCUCAUGGAGGUCCUCAAGCAAAACCAAGAGAUAAGCACCGUCAUCUCCAAUUUGCAGACAAGAGAACCGAAUCUUAGUAGAUCAAGGAGCUUGGAGAUGGUGGAACCUGGGACUGAGCCAGAAAUAUCUGUUCUCAGGCUCCUGGCACCUCUGUUGAGCUGCCGCUUCCCCCCUGCACAUUCAGAGCCACGUGAGGGUGAACUAGAAUUCCACAGACUACGUGUUCCUCUGAAACAUCCAGACGUGUGGAUCCCGAAUCUCCAUCACGCCCAGAGGCAGUGGCAACGCUGUGAGAAACAUCGUUCAACAAACAGUAACAAAGGAUAAUGGUGUUUCUCAUCCACUGCAAGACCGGGUGCUCUGUGGACCCCCAGGCUGCUCCUCACAAGGGUAUGACCCCGAAAAAGUAGUUUCCCCUCCCUGGGUCUCAGUUUCCCCAUUGACACAUGAGAGGAUUGUUCUAGACUCACCUGGAGAAUCUUUUGACAAAAUAGAAGUUCCAAGAUUUAUCUUUGACGUCUAAGUCCAGAUCUCUUGGGAGAACCUCACUCAUUAAUUACUUAACUGAUUUAGCGGAUGUUUAAUGAUAUUCACUGGACGCUUAGCUGCUGGUGAUGGAACGGCGUGUUCGUCAGGGUUCCAUCAGGACACAGAGUAGCGCACUCUGCUUAGGGUAAUUUGAGGAGCUUCAUAAAGGGGCGAAGACAAGGAUGUGGGUGGGAUAUAGGGGUGGCACAAAGGACAGUGCAGCACCCGAGAGCUGGCAGCAUUGGGACUUUCACGACCUCUAGACCCGAAGGAAGAGGGGAGACCUCCCCUAAUCUGGAGAGAGAGAUGGAGAGAAGGUCUCCUUGGAAGAGCUGUGACCUUCAUCUAGAAUAGGGCUCCUCAACCUUGACACGUUGGCAUUUGGGGCUGGAUAGUUCUUUGCUGCACGGGGCACUUACGCACUGCAGGACGCGGAGCGGCAUCCCUGGCCUCCACCCACAGGAUGCCAGCAGCAUCCUCCAGACAUUGCCAAGUGUCCCCUUGGGGGUGAGAUUGCCCCCAGGGGAGAACCACUGAUCUAGGGUGCAGCCAGCAUGUAGUGACUCCACGGAGUAGAGACGGCUCCCUCAUCUCCCACUCCCCUUUCCUUUCCAUCUCCCCCUAGGGUUUCCCAUUGGCCAAAACUCAGGCAGAAACCAGAAGGCCAGAAAGUGCACUGAUGCUCCAACAAGGCAGCUCUGAGGCCAAGAGCAGGACGUAGACUUCUGGACAGGGGGUGGGAGGGACAAACAGACACAGUACAAGAGUAAAUCUGAUGGAUAAGAUCCGUCUCCUUUAGGAGUUGACAGUCUAGUGGGGAUGGGGCUGCAGAAAGAGGCCGAGAACAAACAGAUACAGAUACAGGUAAUUUCUGAGCACGAUUAGGAGUAUGAAGACAGACAAAAAAGCAGCGAUGCAACAGUGAAUGGCUGGGCUCUCUGAAGCAGUGACGAUGAAGCUAAGAUCUGAAUGAUCUCAUGGGGCCAGCCUCGAAAACAGUGUGGAAGAGGGAGACUCCAGGCCAGGGGAACAGCAUGUGCAAAGGCCCUCAAAUCUGCAUUUACUCAUUUAUUGGUUUGUUUCUGCAGGACUUUAUUGGGAUGUAAUUUUUCCACAGUAAAAUGUGCAACUAUUAAGCGGACCAGUUGAUGAACUUUUGCAACCAUAUUUGCUCCUGUUACCAUCAUCCAGAUUAAGAUAUAGACCAUUUCCACCUCCCCAAAAGGUCCCCUUACGCUCCAAAUUGUGUCCCCCGUCCCAUCCUGCUACUGUCUGACUUUCGUUGCCGUGGAUCAGUGCUGCCUGUCUUUGAACUUCAUAGAAAUGGAAUCCCACAGCAGGUGCUUUCCUGGGCAUGGCUUCUUCACAACACAUGAGGUCUGCGCGAUUCAUUCGUGUCAUUGGACAUACCAGGAGUUUGCUUCUUUUCAUUGCUGUAUAGUAUUCCACUGUGUGGAUGUACCACAGUGUGGUUAUCUGUUCUCCUGUGGAAGGAUGCGUAGGUUUGUUCUAGUUUGGAGCCAUCACGAAUAAAGCUGCUGUGGACAUUUGCUUGCA
rnacentral:lncRNA from 1 species